UACAGCGGGGGCGAGCGUUGUUCGGAAUUACUGGGCGUAAAGGGCGCGUAGGCGGCCUUCUAAGUCGAACGUGAAAUCCCCGGGCUCAACCCGGGAACUGCGUCCGAGACUGGCAGGCUUGAAUCCGGGAGAGGGAUGUGGAAUUCCAGGUGUAGCGGUGAAAUGCGUAGAUAUUAGGAAGAACACCAGUGGCGAAGGCGGCUCACUGGCCCGGUACUGACGCUCAUGUGCGAAAGCGUGGGGAGCAAACAGG
rnacentral:rRNA from 1 species